rnacentral:rRNA from 1 species
GAUGAACGCUGGCGGCGUGCCUAAUACAUGCAAGUCGAGCGAACGGACGAGAAGCUUGCUUUUCUGAUGUUGGCGGCGGACGGGUGAGUAACACGUGGAUAACCUACCUAUAAGACUGGGAUAACUUCGGGAAACCGGAGCUAAUACCGGAUAAUAUUUUGAACCGCAUGGUUCAAAAGUGAAAGACGGUCUUGCUGUCACUUAUAGAUGGAUCCGCGCUGCAUUAGCUAGUUGGUAAGGUAACGGCUUACCAAGGCAACGAUGCAUAGCCGACCUGAGAGGGUGAUCGGCCACACUGGAACUGAGACACGGUCCAGACUCCUACGGGAGGCAGCAGUAGGGAAUCUUCCGCAAUGGGCGAAAGCCUGACGGAGCAACGCCACGUGAGUGAUGAAGGUCUUCGGAUCGUAAAACUCUGUUAUUAGGGAAGAACAUAUGUGUAAGUAACUGUGCACAUCUUGACGGUACCUAAUCAGAAAGCCACGGCUAACUACGUG